AUACUUUUUAGUUCAUAAGUGUGAUGAUUGUGUGUUCACACUUGUGUGAGAUGUCCCUCCCUCAAACCUUGUUGCGCCAUCAUCUGCACAUUACCCAACCUGAUG
rfam:Gorilla gorilla gorilla genomic chromosome, chr5, whole genome shotgun sequence